rnacentral:rRNA from 1 species
UACGAAGGUCCCAAGCGUUAUUCGGAAUCACUGGGCGUAAAGGGAGCGUAGGCGGUGUGGAAAGUCAGAUGUGAAAGCCCAAGGCUCAACCUUGGAACUGCAUCCGAUACUCCCACACUAGAGGAUUGGAGAGGAGAUUGGAAUUUUCGGUGUAGCAGUGAAAUGCGUAGAUAUCGAAAGGAAGACCAAUGGCGAAGGCAGAUCUCUGGACAAUUCCUGACGCUGAGGCUCGAAGGCUAGGGGAGCGAAAGGG